AUUGCCUCAGUAACGGCGAGUGAAGCGGCAAGAGCUCAAAUUUGAAAUCUGGCCCCUCCGGGGUCCGAGUUGUAAUUUGCAGAGGAUGCUUCGGGUGCGGCCCCUGUCUAAGUGCCCUGGAACGGGCCGUCAGAGAGGGUGAGAAUCCCGUCUUGGGCAGAGUGCCCGUGCCCGUGUGAAGCUCCUUCGACGAGUCGAGUUGUUUGGGAAUGCAGCUCAAAAUGGGUGGUAAAUUUCAUCUAAAGCUAAAUACCGGCCGGAGACCGAUAGCGCACAAGUAGAGUGAUCGAAAGAUGAAAAGCACUUUGAAAAGAGAGUUAAACAGCACGUGAAAUUGUUGAAAGGGAAGCGCUUGCAACCAGACUCGGCCUCGGGGUUCAGCCAGCAUUCGUGCUGGUGUACUUCCCCGGGGCCGGGCCAGCGUCGGUUUGGGCGGCCGGUCAAAGGCCCCAGGAAUGUAUCGUCCUCCGGGACGUCUUAUAGCCUGGGGUGCAAUGCGGCCAGCCUGGACCGAGGAACGCGCUUCGGCACGGACGCUGGCG
rnacentral:rRNA from 1 species